GAGCACGUAGGUGGGUUUGUAAGUCAGAUGUGAAAGCCUUCUGUUCAACGGGAGGAUUGCAUCUGAAACUGCUAAUCUUGAGUAUAGGAGGGGAGAAUGGAACUUCUGGUAGAGCGGUGAAAUGCGUAGAUAUCAGAAGGAACGCCGGCGGCGAAAGCGAUUCUCUGGCCUAUUACUGACACUCAGUGUGCGAAAGCUAGGGGAGCAAACGGGAUUAGAUACCCCGGUAGUCCUAGCCGUAAACGAUGGGCACUAAGUAGAGGGGAUUACCUAUGUUCUCUCUGCCGUAGCUAACGCAUUAAGUGCCCCGCCUGGGGAGUACGGCCGCAAGGCUAAAACUCAAAAGAAUUGACGGGGGCUCGCACAAGCGGUGGAGCAUGUGGCUUAAUUCGAUGCAACGCGAAAAACCUUACCGGGGCUUGACAUGAUAGAAGUAGAAACCUGAAAGGGGGACGAACGGUAUCCAGUCCGUAGCUAUUACAGGUGUUGCAUGGCUGUCGUCAGCUCGUGUCGUGAGACGUUGGGUUAAGUCCCCUAACGAGCGAAACCCUUGUUUUUAGUUACCAGCGGGUUAUGCCGGGUACUCUAGAAAGACUGCCGUCGUCAAGACGGAGGAAGGUGGGGAUGACGUCAAGUCAUCAUGGCCCUUAUGCCCCGGGCUGCACACGUGCUACAAUGGUCGGUACAGACGGAAGCGAAGCCGAGAGGUGAAGCGAAUCC
rnacentral:rRNA from 1 species